UCACCAGGUGGGCCCCAGGUGGCGGCUCU
rnacentral:sRNA from 1 species